CUUGUUUGUCUACGCAUAAUUAUACCUGCGGUGUUACUCCGUGGUGAGACAACUGGGGCACCUACGGCCUACGGGAAACUCCAGCUUGAACCAUUUUUCUCCAGCACCGCUUGCAAGCAUAGAACCACCAGUCGUUUGGAUCGUCCACAAUGGUGCAAAAUAAUAUGCAGGAACUCAGUAUGCAAAACAAUGUGGCAAACUAUGCGGUCUUGCACCAAAAUGAUUUUCGGUAAGCAGCCAUGGGCAACUAAGAGGUAGGAUAAAGCACAGGCAAGACAGAAGAGUAAAUUACCGCCAACAGCGGUGUCAGGAAGCUCUUCAACAGGUCCCUUGCCUAACCAUAUCUCCCGCCUCCGAGCCUCUACAUCAGACAUUAUAGGCAGGACAACAGUGUAGUCUGAAGGAACAUGCCUGGAAGAAUUGUUAGUAGACGAAGCCCCGAAGGCAACAGAACAUGCAAUCGUAGGCCUACCCCGCCAUAGAGAACGGGCCGAAGGGCAGUACUUCGUGCGCGCAUAGGCGACAAAGAGCGCAGAGAGCCAGCAGCCGACAGAAGGAGAACCCACAACCAUCGAAGAACAGCCACGGCCAACACUCACAGCAGGAGCAACAUCUUGCGAACCAGGCGUGGAGGUGGAGAAACUGACGUGGAAGGUGGGUUUUCAGGCCGACAACGCCCAGAUCCCCGAUGUAUGUCCAUAGCAGGUUGCGCAGCAGAUGGAGAACCACCAGCAAUCACGGUGGGAACCCCAACCGACAAAUAAGCAGAGAGAUCAGAGGCAGUAGCAGCAACCAGAGGAAAAGCAGAAGACCAGUAACCGCGGAGAAACCGUGGCCACGCCCACAGGAACUUGAUGAACGACAGCGAGACUACACAGAAGAGAUAUCCUCCAAACCACGGCAAUGAUGCGGAACCGGCAGCGGAGGCAACGGCGCCGAGGGCAUAGGCAGCGGCACGGACGUCAACAAAUCAGAAACAGGAGGCAACUCAUCGACGCCACGCCGGCGCGUGACCAAAGGUGGAGGCGGCGACGCGGCAGGUGAACGGCCUCGCCUACGGGCCAACCACAUGACGCCCACUCAUACAAAAGCCUGCAAAAAGAAGACCAGAUUAGACAGGACAGUGAAGAAGAAGAUGGAGAAGAGAGCAGAACAAAACGGAUGAACCAAAACCUAGCAGAAGCGCAAGGAAGAGAAUUGAAAUCAAGAAUAAAAAGGACAUCAAGAAGGAGGAGACACAGGAACGCCGAGAUGGAGCCGUGAGGGAAAGGAAAAAUUACCAGAGGAAAGGAGAAAAGAGGGGGAGAUAAGCGGCAAGUAAAUAGCAAACCGUUCCAGAAUAUCAGCAGCACAACACGUAUCCCACAUGAAAAGAAGACGUGUCGCAGAUGGAAACCCACUAUCUAAGGAAACCGGAGCCACCGGAGAUCAGAGGUCCACGGAAGGAAAGAAAUAAUAGGAAAAAUAAAGAACCGGUUUGAAAAGAAGGGAACAAUCGGAUAGCUUCCGGUAAUCACGUAUUGUACGAAGGAAAAUAAAGUGAGAGGAGAAACUGAACCAGCGGGAACCAUGGCCAUCUACAGGGAAAAAUGCUUAGGUGGUGAUGCGUGAUUAGAGGAAACGAUAGAGGGAACAGUGCCCAAAUCUCUCUCCUCACGGUAAAAGGGUUCAGCUUUGAUAUAGUUUAUUAUUUAUUUAUUUAUAAUAACCCAAGCCUUCUAAAUCCUUGUAUAUCGCUGGGAUCGGCCACCGAUCGCACGUGCUGACGUAGGGUAGUUUUAUACGUCUGCGUGUGCUCGUGCGUAUA